CGCCAGGAUUGGGCGACAAGAUUUUUCUGGCCAGGAGCCUUGGGACACGGGAGCCAGAAACCAUGCUGCUGUGGCUGACCCUUACCAUCCUGUGGAGCACCACCUGCUGGGCAGAUCAGAUGUAUGGGAAUGGAGGAGGCACGUAUUUCAGUUCCUCUAUAGACAAU